AGAAAUGUCAUUUUGGAGACUGAAAAAGCGUCUCUAUCAAGGAGGAAAACUUCUGAUCCACUGAUGAAUCCUCGGCCUCCCACGAAAUAAGCCGACCUAUCCUUACGGGCUUUGUCUAUCAUCGGCCACAGUUUGUCACGACGUUCUCUGUCCUCCCUGGACAGAUCUUCAGCGAACCUCAAAUGAUUGUCCUGCAGGUAGGAGGAUGUUUUGGCUGCUUUCCAUACAGCAUCUCUGUAGAUUCGGGAGGUGAACUGCACGAUGAUGCCUCUGGGUCUGGUGCUACCUUGUCGCUUGGCUCCGAGUCGGUGUCGAUGACGUCAGGCAGCCUAUGAUUUUGCUCUGGCAGAACAGACUGGCAUAUCUCGAUCACCUUUCCCCUUACGUCUUCUUUCUCAGCCUCCUUGACUCCAUGUAGUCUGAGAUUCCACCUCCUGGAAUAUCUUUCCAACUCAGAUAUUCUCUGUUGGCAGUUGUCCACUCGACCUUCCUCUUUAGUUACUUUUUUUUUCCAGGUCGCAAACUUUCCCCUUCAUAUCUUUCAUUUCCGCGCACACAAAAUCAAUCGUCUUUUCAGACCCUCAAUCUGGAGCGUAUUCUCUUUCACCAUGUUCGAGUUUUCUCUCACCAUGCUCUCAAUGUUAUCAGACCUGGAGUUAAUUAAUGCCGACAAACUGGAAAUUAUCUGGUUUACAUCAACUGCGUCAGAGCUGCUGCGUUCGUACAUCACCUUCUUCGGAGCUGGCGAUUUAAGAGGUGUGACAGGGAGAGGUGGGAACUCAUCCAUUUCUUCUUCGGCUAACGUGAGUGCCACCGUAGUAGCUGCGUAGUUAUGGAAGCUAUCCAUUAGCAUGUUGCUGGGCGUAGCACUCUCCUCGUUAGCAUUCUCAGGCGCUAUCUUAGACUUGGAACUUUCUGCUGCUUCUUGCCCUAUGAUUGCUGUAUUUCACUUGUUUAGUCAACUGUUAGUGUUAGCAGCAUAAAGUUGAGGUUUUACCGUUGUUCACGAACUUUCUGUGCAGACCUCGGUAGAGAGCGUCUACUCACUCCGCCAUCUUGGCACGCCCCCUCUACAGUUGUUAAUUUUGACUGUGAUGUUCUGUGACAUCACUGAAUUCUCUUUGAUGACAGCUGUAGGGGCCGGAGCCAGGUUUCACGAGAAGUCACAAAUACACCCCAUGUACACAAACUGUAAGCGCUACAUGAGUAGAUAACUUGUUGUACUUGAUAACUUUGCACGGACAAUAUAAAUACAAAUUAAAUACAUUCAUUUAAAAAUGGCUGCCACACUAGAAUUACAGCAAAAACAACUUGAAAAAUUUAAAAAAAAGGAAAAACGCCUCAUGGCUGAAAACAAGGACCAACAGAAAAAAAUAUCUGAAUUUGUUAAAGUGUGUAGGGAACAAGUGGCGGAUAUUGAUAGACUUAAACGGGAAGCCUGCGCCCAUCUUUCUGAAAUAGACCGACUAAGAAAACGUAUGGUUAAAUGUGAGAUAAAGCCUGCAGGAUCAGAAAAGUUGACUGAAUCGGGCAAAUAUGAGAAAGAAAUCCUGGAUCUUCAAAAGAAAUGCAAAGACCUGGAAAGGAAACAUGCCACUGAAAAAAAGAGACGGGAGGAGAAAGAAAAAGACGUGGAAUUUCUGUCUCCCCUUCAAGUCAAAAUCAACACACUGAGCAAAGAAAAUGAGGUCCUGAAGCAAAAGUUAAGUCAGGUGACCGCUGAAAAAGACGUAAAAGUAAAAGAACUGAAGGAAAAAAAAGAACAGAUAAAAAAAAGAGCUUAGAGUCCAGGACCAGCUCAAAGAAGAGAGGCUAAACUUUGAAAAAAGGACAUCGGAAUAUCUUGAAGAGGCUAGCAUGUUGUUUCAAUGUAGAGACAGACUUAAAACAGUGGAGGAGCAAGCAGAGAAAUUAAAGGCUGAACUUAAAAAAUGGCAAAAAAAAGCAGAGGAGUUUGAAGAGAAAAAGAACAGGGUAACUAUGGAGAAACACGCAUUGAUAAUGAAAAAUAAUGAACUGUCAGAUCUGCUUUUGGCAAAGGACUUUGAUAGUAACAAGUUAGCAAAAGAGUUAAAAGAGAAA
ensembl:lncRNA